CUUUAUAAGUGUACUCUCUAUGUCAUUAUCUAAAUCACUGAUGAAGAUAUUGAACAGAACCUGACCCAGAACUGAUCCCUGCAGGAUCCCACUCAUUAUGCCCUUCCAGCUUGACAGUGAACCACUGUUAACUACUCUCCGGCAUGGGUGGUGGAUGAACUCCCCCUUUGGGGAGGGUAACCCGCCGGCCCUGCCCCUUCUGCCCGAGCCCUGAGGCUCCCCCCCUCUCCUACGGAUGGAGGAGCCCCGGCCUACCCACCCUAGCCACCCUAAGCUGCCAGUUGGCCCACUCCAGCCAGCCCCAGCACCAGGCCUGUCCAAGACUCUGGCCCAACCCCCAGGCCAGCUGCAGCACCUCACCGGGCCUCCCUGAGCUCCCCAGGCAACCGGCUGGAGCUGAGCCUCCACUGGCUUCAGGGAAGAGAGGAGGGGCCUGGGGGUGGAACAUGGGCAAGGCCACAGCCUUGGUCAGGGGAGGCUUAGCCUGCCCUGGCCUUUGAUAUCUGCCACCCAUGCUCUCUAGGAAUGGUUUUCCAACCAGUUAUGCACCCACCUAGUUCCGUCUAGGUUGCAUUUCCCUGUUUGUUUAUGAAAAGGUCAUGCGAGACCGUAUCAAAAGCUUUACUAAAGUCAAGAUAUACUAUGUCUAUCACUUUCCUGCUAUCCACAAAGCUUGUGACCCUGUCAAAGAAAGCUAUCAACUGGGUUUGACCUGAUUUGUUCUUGACAAAUCCAUGCUGACUGUUACUUAUGACCUUAUUAUCUUCUAGAUGUUUGCAAAUUGAUUGCUUAAUUAUUUGCUCCAUUAUCUUUCCAGGUACAAAAGUUAAGAUAACUGGUCUGUAAUUCCCCAGGUUGUCCUUAUUUCCCUUUUUAUAGAUGGGCACUAUAUUUGCCCUUUUCCAGUCUCCCUUCUAUUCAGAUUAAGUUUUGUAUUUCCUAAUUUCAUCCUUUCUGUCUCAGAGAUCUUAGCUGUUUUGCUAAAUAACUCUGUACUAAAUUACAUGAUAGGAAUUAUAUAAUAAACCAUUUCUCUUCCUUCUGGGUGUCUGUUGUCUUUGCUCUUUACACAACAUUAAGAAUAUGUGGAAAGUAUGUGACACAAUUAGAUUCCAAAUAACCAUGUUUGCUAUCUGUAUAAAACAUAGAAAACACAGCUACUUCUAUACACUGCUGCUGUGUUAGGUUCUAGUGGCUUCUGCCAUAGAAGAGGUCACGUAGAGGCUCAUUAGAGGGCUCCCAGAUUAUUUAAAGGGAUACUACCCAAAUCAUAUACAAUGCUUAUAGCCUUCCAUUAUUUCUACUAGUAUGUUCCUCGUUAGUUGUCACUCUAAAUCAGUGUAGUUGGCUCCAAAAGUUGUAAUAAAAGUUGGCCAAGUAUGAUUAGAACUUCAAGCCAUACUGACAGUGUGUCACAAGAGGGCAGCACUGGAAAUCAGUGAAGGCUUUCUGAAUAGGUUUAAAACAAGAAGAUAAUACUAGUAGUGAAUAGAGAAAAAUAUAAUGAAUUUUGCCAUUUUGCUGGGUUGGUGACAGGGCAAAAAAUACCAGAUUUUUUAUCCUGUGUUGGACCAACUCUCCAUGCACACUCUGUGUGGUCUCUUGUACUCAGCAUCUUACUUGCUGUGGAACCCCUUGCUGUCCUCCCUCAAGUGCUUACUCUGAAUAUUUUCUUUACUGCUGCUGGAACCAUCAUCACUGGUCAUAGGACUUGAUGAUUUACAGGGCACUGAUAGCCAUAAUACUGAACUAAUAUUUCUUACAUAUCAAAUUUUUUGGAGAAGAUCCAUGAGCUAAGUGAGGGAGGAGAUAAGAAUGUGGGGAAAAACAGGCGGACUCUUCAGUGCUGACUGGACAUUUAAAAAGAUUGGGAGUGAAAACUAAAAUUAGAUAAAACAUUGGUUGGGCAACAGCUUAUUUUGCUGUUCCUGUUCCGUGAAGGGAACUUGUUCAAGCUCAGUAGUUUCCUAAUGCUGGUCAUAAAUGAAUAAAGCAAAAAUAAGUCUCAUCCAUUAAAGUCAGUGUGGACUAGUGAAUGGGCAUGGGCAGGGAGCCAGAAGACUUGGGUUCUACUCUCAGUUCAGCUAUGAAUGCCUGUGGGAUCUUAGCCAAGUCACUUAACCACUCUGUGGCUCAGUUUCCCCUUAUUUAAAAUGAAGAUGAUAUUAUUUACUCAUCUGCAACCCAGGGAGUCACUCAAUACCAACUGGCAGAGGGCACAUCAUACCGUAACUCACUUCAGGCCUGACACUCAUUGUCCCAACACACUGUUGCCAUCAUCUGUAUCCAAAAGGUGCUAUGUAAGGUAUCAUCUGCUAGCCAGUAACACACUGGUCAGUAAUAUUAUUGUAUGCUGUAUAUAAAGAUGAUGUAUAAACAGUUUUAGAUGUGUUGCUGGAACUAUGUUCUCAAAAGGUGUUUUGCAAGCAAUGCACAACCCCAACCUGUCUUAGUCAAAGGAAUGUUGUUUCACCUGUUUUUCUGUGUCUCUAGUGUAAACUGAGCCAGGUAACACCUCAGGACAAUGAAAAGUACAUCUACAUACAAGGGAAACAAAGCCAUCAAGCUAAAUGAGUGGGGCUGAGGGUGGAGGGAAGACCAUUUAACUAUCAUGACAGGGGAUGGAGUCUGCACUUCCCAGGAAGUCUUCCUGGCUUUUGAAACAGAGACAGUAGACUUUGGGAAAUAUAAGCAGAAGCAGAAAGCCAUUUGGUAUGCAUCACUAGGGGAUAAAGGGAGAGCAACACCCUUUGAGUUCAUGAAAAAUGAAUCCUCCUAGCCUGAAAACCAAGAGUAGCUGGAACUGACUGUAGGUGAGAAAAUUGCUUAGAUAAAGAUUGUAACUUGCUGAAGUUAAGUUUUAGUCACUAGAAAGUGUAAUUGUUUUUGUUUUACUUGUAGCCAUAUCUAUGUCUUCUAUUCUUUCUUAUUAUCUCUUAUACUCUGUUCUUUGUUAAUAAACUUAUUCUUGUUUGACUGCAAAACCAUCUCAGUGCUGUUACUCUUGGGGGAAUUCUGCGCAAUGCAGAGUUUGCACAGAAAUUAAUGUUCUGUGCAGAAUUUCCUUUUCCCACCACAGAAAUGGGCUGCUGAGCUGCUGGCUGCCACUAGAUUUGGCAGAGCCCAGCUCCAAAAUAGAAGACACUGUGAAGAGAAGGGGGACAGAGCUGGAGGAUUCUGGGCAGUUGCAACUCCUGGCAUGCUCUGAAGGAAGGAGGUGGCAAGCAGGAAACUCCACACAAGCCCAGGACCAAGCAUCAGGUUGUUUGUCCCUCUGAAUCCCUGAGCUCUAGCAGCAGAAAACUUGAUAACUUCUGUGAGAGGGACUGGAAACUGCAGAGUGAGAUGGUUUUGGGGAGACUCAGGACUGGAAGAGCUGUUGGUGUCAUCCUGCAAGGAGUAACCAGGCUGGGGGAACCUAGGAUGAGGCCAUUAUGCUGAUGAAAGCUACUUGCAUCAGGGCUCUGAGCCAAAGCUGCACAGCGUAGAAGCAAUCUGGGUUACAGGGCAGGCAGUGGUGAACUCCCAAAGCGUCACAUUGGCAUAGUCCAACAGGAUUUACUGUUUACUACUUGCUAUUUGGCUCACACUCAAACCACAGUUGCCAACUUUCAUGUGGUAAAUAAGCACCCCGACUUUCACAAUAAGCCAAAAAUCAAGCUAAUACCAUUUCAAAACAAGGCCAAAGCAAGCCAAUCCCUAAGAACCCCAGCACUCUAUGUGACUAGAUCCCCCCCCUCCCCACAGUCUGGGACUGUGGUGGGCCUGCUGUGCACCCCUGACUCUCUUCCCCCUCUUGCCCCUGCUUGCCCCUUGUCUCUGCUUGCUCGGAGCGGAUCAAAAAGAAAGAAGUAACAAGCUGCAACAAGCCAAAAACUAGCCAACAAGAAACUCACAAGCCAAUUAAACCAAAAACAAGCCCAAUUUCUGCAAUUUUUUUUGUGGGUUUGGCAUGUCUGACUCAAACCACUGAUUUACUAGAUUUUUAAGCGAUUUUUCAAAUGAGACGGCUGAGUGGAGUCAAAGAAAGUUUACAGAUUAAUUGUUUUUUGUUUGUUUAUUUUGGGCAAGGAACUAGAACAAAAGGCAUUUUAAAAUGAGCAGCAGCAAAAUAACCACAAAGUUAGAACUAGACAGAUUGGAGGCCGAUCAGAAAGAGAAAGAAUGCGAAGCUGCAAAAGCAGCUCAUGAUCACCAAAAAUGGGAAGCCAAAUAGCAAGAUAAACAAAACCAAAUAAGAGAAGCAGACCAGAGAGCCAAUAAAGCUGACCUGAGAGACGAGGAGAGGGAGGCAGAAAAGCAACAACAGGAGGAAGCACACCAGUGAACCAUGGAACUAAAAAAAGAAAGAAGCCCAAGAAAGGGGGAGAGAGAGAGAGACUGUAUAACCUGGAUAUGAUGGAUAAAUAUGGACACAACCCACAAGUACUCUCUCUUCCUCAGGAAUAGCCUGAUGGGACAAGCUAUGCCCUGCAUACAAAAAAUCAGAUUGAACUGAGGAAUACCUUACAACUUUUGAAAGAUUCUGUGUGUUGCAUAAGGUCCCAGAAGACAAGAAAUUCCCCACGCUGGUGAAAAGGCUUUUGGAUAAAGCAUUGAUUGUAUUUAAUGAAAUGCCAGUUGAAUAGGUUUGAAAUACAAUGAAUUUGAAAAGGCUGUAUUGCAAAGGUUUCAAAUCACCCUUGAAGUGUACAGGGUGAGAUUUAGAAACUCAAAAAGGAUGUUAAUAUGAGUUGUAGAGAAUAUAUGUAUGAUUUGAUGAGGAAAUGGGCAGAAGGAAAAGGGGCAGAGAAUUACGACCAGUUAUUUGAACUUUUUGCAUAAGAGCAUUUUCUAAGUGUACGUAUGCUCUGAUGAAAUCAGAGCUGCUCUUUGAGAUAAAUCGCUAAUGUCUGUGCAAGAGGCUGCUGAUCUGGCUGAUUCCUAAGCACAAGACAGUUUCCAGUGAGCACAAGCCUCCAAGUGAAGGGCAGAGGGAGGAAAGUGGGAGGGUUGAGCCCAGGCACUCACCUCCACAGAACCGAUGCCCUCCUGGAAAUCACAUUUGCAGACCUAUGUCAUAGGAGAACGGACCCAGAAAGUAUUUCACAUGUAAUUCCACCAAGCACCUGAGGGACAAUUGCCCUAAACAAAGGGAAUCUAAGCCUACAACCAUCCAGCCACAGCCCAGAUUAAUGCAGCUGUUGUAAACACAGGACCCACAGAGGUGCCUGAAACAUUCCUGAUAAUCUUUGUAAGGUCCGGCCCUUUGAAGGUUGCUGCUGAGUUUAUUAAAGUUGUCACAGUGAAUGGCAAAGAAUGCCUAGAGUGGAGAGACAUUGGUGCCCAGAUCUCUCUGGUUAGCGAGAGCAUGGUCAGGAAGACUGACAGGCUGCAGGGAGAAAGUGUAGAGCUCCUGGCAUUGGGAAGCUGUAAAACCAGUGUGCCUUUAGCUAAAGUGCAUUUGGAGUGGGAAGGUGUGGAAGCCAUUUUAAAUGUUGGUGUGUUGGAUUGAAUUCCAGCAGAAAUACCCAUAGGAAAUGAUGUAUUAACUAUGUCUAAAGUCGUUUAAUACAAACUUGCUCUUUUCUGAAUGUUGGCAGAAUGAAAGGCUGUCUUGGAAACACCUGAAACUGGGCUGCUUGAUAAAAAGGAGUAAUAAGAAGAUAAAACUUCUGAUGCCAGAAGUAGUCACAGAUUUGAUCCUGUGAGAAAUUUUAACCAUUUUUCACCAGUGGCUCAACAGCCUUCUGCAAGAAAAUGAUGAAAUUCUGCCCUGUUGGAAAAAUCAAGAGUUGUGUACAUUUGACCUUGGCAGAAAAGUCAAUGUUUUACAAAGAAAACAUUUUGUUGUUGUUGUUUGUCAAAAUUACAGUUCUCUGCUUGUG